AUACGGGAGGCAGCAGUGGGGAAUUUUGCGCAAUGGGCGAAAGCCUGACGCAGCAAUGCCGCGUGAGUGAUGAAGGCCUUCGGGUCGUAAAGCUCUGUCAGAGGGGAAGAAACUCCCGACGGUUAAUACCCGGCGGGCCUGACGGUACCCUCAAAGGAAGCACCGGCUAACUCCGUGCCAGCAGCCGCGGUAAUACGGAGGGUGCAAGCGUUGUUCGGAAUUAUUGGGCGUAAAGCGCGUGCAGGCGGUUCGUUAAGUCUGAUGUGAAAGCCCCGGGCUCAACCCGGGAAGUGCAUUGGAAACUGGCGAACUUGAGUAUGGGAGAGGGAAGUGGAAUUCCGAGUGUAGGGGUGAAAUCCGUAGAUAUUCGGAGGAACACCAGUGGCGAAGGCGGCUUCCUGGACCAAUACUGACGCUGAGACGCGAAAGCGUGGGGAGCAAACAGGAUUAGAUACCCGGGUAGUCC
rnacentral:rRNA from 1 species